UUUUUAAAUAUAUAAUUUAGUUUUUAAUGAAUAUUUAAAUUUAUAAUUUAUAUUUAUUAGGUUCUUUUAAGUUCGAUAAAAAUUUGAAUAAGUUCAUGAGUCAUGAAUAUAUUCGUUAAAUAAAGUUCGGCUCAAUUAUAAACAAAUUAAAUUCAUAAAUUCGUCUAAAUUCGAUUACACCUCAAAAUAUAUGAUUUUGUAAUCUCCCUCUUUCUGUUUAUAUAUUUAAAAAUUCCAAACCUUUCAUAAUUAUUUGUUUGGGGAGCGUGCAGCUCGAGUUGCUAUUUGUGAAUUAAUGGAAUAAAAAAGUAUGCAGAUCAGGUGGAAAUCAGCGCCCAUGAUCCAUCCACCACAAUACCAAAUGCAUGCGACAAUUUAAACCACGUUUGCUUCGUCACCGGAGCAGACGAUAGAUGCCCAUGGCUUUUGACACAAUGCAGUCGUCCAAGCACGUCUGUGUCGUUGGCGCUGGGGCCUCCGGCCUCGUCUCCGCCCGUGAGCUCCUCAGGGAAGGCCACUCCGUCGUCGUGCUGGAGCAGAACCACGACCUCGGCGGCCAGUGGCUCUACCAAGACGUCGGCGCCGCCAAGGCCACAGUCCACAGCAGCGUCUAUGCCUCCCUGCGCCUCAAUGGGCCCAGAAUCUCCAUGGACUUCACCGACUUCAUGUUCACUCCCGUCGAAGGAAGAGACGCCAGGAACUUCCCCGGCCACCGCGAGCUCUUCCUCUACCUCAAAGACUUCGCCCGGUGUUUCGAGUUAACCGAACUCAUCAGGUUCAACUCAGAAGCAGUCCACGUCGGCACGGCGGCAGCAACUGGCAAAUGGAUUGUGAGAUCAAGGGACAGGAGAACUGAUGACGGUGAGUUAGUGGAAGAGAUCUUUGAUGCGGUUGUCGUCGCCACUGGCCAUUUCUCCCUGCCUAAGCUCCCAAAAAUCAAGGGAAUGGAGGAGUGGAAGAGGAAGCAGCUUCACUGCCAUGUCUACAGAAUCCCAGAUCCCUUCCAAGACGAGGUGGUAGUGGUCGUUGGUGGUUCAAUCAGUGGACCAGAGAUUGCUCUGGAGCUUGUUCAUGUAGCCAAAGAAGUCCAUAUAAGUACUAAACAUGACGAAAUCCCUGAGAAAUUAGUGAAGCCUGUUUCCAAGUAUGCACAUCUGCACUGGCACCAAGAGAUCGAGUUGCUUUGUGAAGACGGAACUGUUGUGUUUGCUGAUGGUUCAAGUGUAGUUGCCGAUAGUAUUCUCUACUGUACUGGGUAUUCAUAUUCAUUCCCUUUCCUGGACACUGAAGGAAUCAUCCCUGUGAAUGAGAACAGAAUUGGACCUUUGUAUGAACAAACAUUUCCUCCCUCUCUCGCUCCAUCCCUUUCUUUCGUUGGGAUUCCAAACAAGUUUGCAUUGUUUCGAUUUCUUGAGUCACAAGCGAGAUGGAUAGCUCAGGUGCUCUCUGGGAAGAGGAAGCUGCCGUCCGCAGACGAGAUGAUGAAGGCAAUUGAAGAAAUUCAACACCUUCAAGAGAUCGAGGAAGCAAAAGAUAUCAUACAAGUAGCUGCUGAAACAUUGGAGCAAAUGCCGAUGGAUUGCCAUGCCUCGUGUGCGCACCGUGUGCACGACUGUGGGUGGCAGGUGCAAAUGGAUUGUGAGAUCAAGGGAGAGGAGAACUGAUGAUGGUGAGUUCGUGGAAGAGAUCUUUGAAGCGGUUGUCGUCGCCACCGGCAAUUUCUCCCUGCCCAGGAUUCCAAAAAUCAGGGGAAUGGAGUGGAAGAGGAAGCAGUUUCACAGCCAUGUCUACAAAGUGCCACAUCCAUUCCAAAAUGAGGAGGUGGUGGUCGUUGGUGGUGCAAUCAGUGGACCAGAGAUUGCUCAGGUGCUUCUUCAUGUAGCCAAAGAAGUCCAUAAAAGUACUAAACACCCUAGGAUGAUGUUCCAAUCGACAGUCCCGAACCGAGGAUUUCAUGCAAAUUGAUAGCAGUUCAUGCUGAAUUACAGAAAACAAAACCCGUGGAGGAACCGCAAAAACUUUUAAGAGCAAGGGGCACAAGGAUAUCAAAGGUGGAUCAAGAUAGUGGGAGGCAUGAUGUGUGGGGAAUACCAGAGGUUUGCUAGCUUAAGUUGUUUUAUUACUUUUAUUCUUGCUUGGAUUGAUGAACUAAUUUGUCUACAUA